AAAUAAACCUGAUAUAGCGGAAAGCCCACAGCGAGUUACGAGCGAGGACUUGCAGCGGUAGCAGGAAUAUCG
rnacentral:sRNA from 1 species